CCUCAAAGGGUUAACACGUUUUUUAUUUGAAAAUUCAUUAGUCCACAGUCCACAGCAUUUCUUCAAUGGUGAGAAGUAUCACUAACGGAAUUCUUCAUUAGACAUUGAAAAAACAAGUCGAGGGAACAAUGGCGGUAAGUGGUUAUCGUCCACGUUGUUCGAGGCCGGCUGUGGCGAGCUGUUGCGAUUGAUGGACUUUGAGGGCGUUUGCCAUCUCGACCAAGUCAAACGCAUUUUAUUUGCAAUCAACUCGUGCUCCUAAUUAUUCACCAGCGUCAAUUUGGGGCGGCCACUGCUUCUCCAGUUUUGAAAUCUGACGAUAUUAGAGUACCAGAACGUGAGAAGAUAUUACCGUACCGGAAAAUAUCAGGUGACGUCGCUUCU